AGCGAACGCUGGCGGCAGGCUUAACACAUGCAAGUCGAGCGGGCACUUUCGGGUGUCAGCGGCGGACGGGUGAGUAACGCGUGGGAACGUGCCCUCUGGUUCGGAAUAACUCAGGGAAACUUGAGCUAAUACCGGAUACGCCCUUUUGGGGAAAGGCUUGCUGCCGGAGGAUCGGCCCGCGUCUGAUUAGCUAGUUGGUGAGGUAACGGCUCACCAAGGCGACGAUCAGUAGCUGGUCUGAGAGGAUGAUCAGCGACACUGGGACUGAGACACGGCCCAGAAUCCUACGGGAGGCAGCAGUGGGGAAUAUUGGAAAAUGGGCGCAAGCCUGAUCCAGCCAUGCCGCGUGAGUGAUGAAGGCCUUAGGGUUGUAAAGCUCUUUUAUCCGGGACGAUAAUGACGGUACCGGAGGAAUAAGCCCCGGCUAACUUCGUG
rnacentral:rRNA from 1 species